AUUGAACGCUGGCGGCAGGCCUAACACAUGCAAGUCGAGCGGUGCGGCGGACGGGCGAGUAAUUCCUAGGAAUCUGCCUGGUUGUGGGGGAUAAGGUCCGGACACGGGCGCUAAUCCCGCAUUCUAUCAGAUGAGCCUAGGUCGGAUUAGCUAGUUGGUGGGUUAAGGGCCUACAAGGGCGACGAUCCGUAACUGGUCUGAGAGGAUGAUCAGUCACACUGGAACUGAGACACGGUCCAGACUCCUACGGGAGGCAGCAGUGGGGAAUAUUGGACAAUGGGGGAAAGCCUGAUCCAGCCAUGCCGCGUGUGUGAAGAAGGUCUUCGGAUUGUAAAGCACUUUAAGUUGGGAGGCGUUACCAGCAGAAUAAGCACCGGCUAACUUCGUGCCAGCAGCCGCGGUAAUAC
rnacentral:rRNA from 1 species